rnacentral:lncRNA from 1 species
GAGAUGGUACCUGAUGAUCACAAGUUAGUUGAUUACUCGAAUUAUGUUUGCUUUUAGUUGCCCAUAGCACAUGUAGUAUUCUCGACACAUCAAUUUUAACAAAUUGCUCUCAGCUUUGUAGUUUCAUGGCUUUGUGAGAUGCUAAUCAUGAGCUGAAAAUGCUCAUGAGCUUCUCCAUGCACGUACUAGCACAACGACUUUGGGUACUGUAAUUUUUGCAGCACCUGGAACCCAGCUUCCAUUGCAGUGCCACUCAGUAAGUCAUACCGGUUGGAUUUCUUUUUCUUACCGAGCGUAGCCGGCUCUUCCCUUGAAUCGAACUCUCACACGAAGAGUCCGCCCUCCGCCCCUACUCAUGAAGGCCCAUUCCCACUCGGCGGUAGCUCCCUUCCUAUCAUGCCAUGCUUCGGUUCUGUCUUUUUUGUCUUUAACUUUCUUUUGACAACAUUUUUUUUUGAAUUGAUGACCAAAGCUCCCGAUUUCAUUCCAUUCAACAGAUCCCUCGGUAACAAAAGGUUUAGCGGAAACUAACAUACAUAAACCGGCGCCCAAUGGUUACCCCCAUACGAUUGAGAUUGUUAGUUUGAAUUGUACAUCAAUGUUGUAUUUUCGUGUUGAAUAGUACAACAUGGUUAUUUGACAUACAUUACUGAAUCCAAUUUCUCAUUUCCUAGCAGAUGGAUUAGUUCAGUUCCAGUACAUGAUUAGUGAAGUGCAAGGGGAAACAGAUGUGGGUGACGCCAUGCAGUCCUAGAUGGGAUAAUUUUACAUUCCAACUAGGGUUGGUUUUGUGUGGUUCAUGUACCUUGGAUACUUUUCUCCCUUAGAUUAGUGUGAAGCUUGAGAUGAUAUUACCUCACAAGCACUCUUGAUGGAUGCAACGAGUUAUGU